UGUGGAGAUUUCGCCAGUGAAUCGUGACAGAGCUUAUGAUAAACAUAAUGAUAAACUGAUAACGCUUGGCCAUGUGGGUGGGCAAUGCGGAAAGCGGAACGGAGUAGAAGGUCGACCGCGCUAUCAAUAGCAACUGUCCGCCCGACCACCUCUGCGCAUGCGUGUUCCACUCUUUCCUUGGCGUUAUCGACAGAGAUUACAUGGUGAGGAGGAAGAGGUGGGAAACCAGUCUGUCAUCAAUACACGGUUGAAAAAUUCACUGAACGAGCGUGCAACAAACAUAGUGGAUACUCCAUACAAUCCAACCGCGAAUAACGAAUAGCGCGACGUCUGCACUCGCCGCCGCCGCUACCACUGUCACUAACGCUCCGAACGCGGAAAUAAGUUUCGGUCUAAUACAAAAUUUUCGCGUCGUCCGGUGAAAAAACAUGGAACCAUCGCCGCCGCCGAUGUUUACCAUCGUCUUAUCAUGAGCUUUUUUCGUUUCCAAGACGAGUGGUGUUUCCUUUUUGGCUCUAUCCGAAAACGGGCAAUCAAUUUUUUUUUUUUUUUAUUACAUAUACUUUGAUUUUCCAAAAAAAUAA